CAAGGAUUUCAAUCUUCCAAACAAGAAAAUUAGAAAGCAAGUUUCGUUCCCACAGUGACAGAGGAAGGGCAGAGGCUAUUAGGACAACUCAUCUCCUACAAUAUUAAAAACACCCUGGCAGGCUUUGCCAGGUCACAAGAAGGACCCGCCGGAGCUGGGAGUGGGAAGAGCAGCUGUGGUGGUGGCUCGCAGACAGGUACUGCAUUUUGAUAAAUUGAAGGUUUGUGGAACGCUGCAUUGAGCAAGUCUAUUGGUACCAUUUUCCAACAGCAUGUGCUCACUUCAUGUCUCUGUGCCACAUUUGGAAUGAAGAGAAUCUGAACUAAGAUGGGGUGAAAGUAGGAAAUCAUUCCCCCAUGUCAAGUGCAAGGGCUAUCCAGUUAGAGGCCAACACAGAUGUCUGAUCAAAGGUAAAAGUCUUUGUGUGCUUGCAACAAGGGAAGUUGUCUAAUAGGGUCUGAAGACAGAAAGUCCUGUGGUUGUGUCCUGCCCUUCUCCUGCCACACUGGGCCUGCCUUCAGCAGCAAUGUCCCUUGGUGGUUGUCCGCCCUCUGCCACCUGCCUUCAUUUACUCUUGCAGUGGGGUUUAUUUACUCUCACUAUCAUUUGGAUAUACAAAGAAAUUUUAAUUCCCUUAUUUUUCAGACAUCAACCUGACCUUCCUUAUCAGCACUUGGUAAUGAUGGUGCUGACAGGUAACACAGUACAAUCCAGUUAAACCCUUCAUCUGAUUCAAUCGUUUAACUUUUUUUUGAGGUUUAAUUUAGGAUUUUAUUAUAUUUUACCAGUCUUUUAGAUUCCACUCUGCUGCUUUCCAGUAUGGUGCAGAGGGAAUAUAGUUCCUGAGGAGAGGUGCCCAUGACUGCCAGGUUUUGGAGGAAGGGGUGGCCUAGCCUCAUAUUGGUUCUUGGGGCAUUCUGGCUGGCAUCUGCUGAGGGAUGUUUGGUGUGCCCCUAUCCCUGGUCAUUCUAUGGUAUCCACCCAUGACAACUGUGGCCGCUAAUCUCAUGGUCUAUUGUUUCUCAGACUUGGUCAGGGCCUGGCCAGCUUGCCCCAAACAUUUGCAAGGCUGGGGGCAAGGCUGCUAUGAUAUAUGAAUACCUAAAAGUUAGCAAUCAAGCUGACACACUUUUAAAUAUGUUCCAUUCCUUUACCUUGACAAAUAUAUCUUUAUAAUGAC
rnacentral:lncRNA from 1 species